GACGAACGCUGGCGGCGUGCCUAAUACAUGCAAGUAGAACGCAGUUGCGAACGGGUUAGUAACGCGUAGGUAACUGCCUGGUAGCGGGGGAUAACUAUUGGAAACGAUAGCUAAUACCGCAUACUACCAGAUGGACCUGCGUUGUAUUAGCUAGGUGGGGGGGUAACGGCUCACCAAGGCAACGAUACAUAGCCGACCUGAGAGGGGGAUUGGACACACUGGGACUGAGACACGGCCCAGACUCCUACGGGAGGCAGCAGUAGGGAAGCUUCGGCAAUGGACGGAAGUCUGACCGAGCAACGCCGGGUGAGUGAAGAAGGUUUUCGGAGCGGAAAGCUCUGUUGUAAGAGAAGCGGUAUCUGACCAGAAAGGAACGGCUAACUACGUGCCAGCAGCCGCGGUAAUUC
rnacentral:rRNA from 1 species